rnacentral:lncRNA from 1 species
UUCUCUAAAUACACCUUAUCACCCCACUUAUCCCUUUGUGUAGCCAAUAAAUAAACCAUCGCAGACUGAUCAUCCGCUUCGAAAACCGGCCUAUUCUUGAGUUCCCUGGUAAGCACCUUCCCUGCUUCAUCUCUAAUCUUCCCUUUUGGCCCCAUUGGUGACCACGCAUCCAAAAGAUCCAACGACCAUUGACAAUUCCUCAGCAAAAAACUCCCAGUAUUCAAUCCAAUCCAAUUCUUUUGAUCAUAAACCAUUUCAUUCCAUCCGUGCAUGACAAAAUUCGAAUCCUUAUACCUCUCCCACGGCACCUCGAAAGCCAUAUCCGUAAACAUAGCAUCACUAUCCAUCCACCACAAAAACUCAAUCUCCGGGUGCGAAAUCAAUAGCUUCCUAAUCAAAGGCAAUUUCGCCCAAAACCCUGCCAUUUCCGCAUCCAGCAAUGCCAUAUUAUAAAAUAUCUCAAUUCCAUGAAGCCUGCAAUAAUCAAUCUUAUUUUUUAUAGAUUUUAACAAGUAAUGAUCCCCUACCGGAUUCUCACACGGCUUCGGCGAAGAUCCAGUUACUAACAAAACACGCGGUUUGUUUGCCCCGAUAAAAUUGCUAAAAUUAGGGUUUUCACUCAACCAUUUCGCCCGCUGUUCAUCCCAAUCUGAUAUUUUC